rnacentral:rRNA from 1 species
GGCUUAGAAGCAGCCAUCCUUGAAAGAGUGCGUAAUAGCUCACUGGUCAAGUGGUGAUGCGCCGACAAUGUAGCGGGGCUCAAGCACACCGCCGAAGCCGCGGCGCCCUCCGUUGGGGGGUGGGUAGGGGAGCGUCCUGCGUGGGGGGAAGCCGUCGUGUGAGCGUCGGUGGACUGCGUGGGAGUGAGAAUGCAGGCAUGAGUAACGAGUGGCGGGUGAGAAUCCCGUCCGCCGAUUGACUAAGGGUUCCAGGGCCAGGUUGAUCCGCCCUGGGUUAGUCGGGUCCUAAGGCGAGGCCGUCAGGCGUAGUCGAUGGGCAACGGGUUGACAUUCCCGUACCGGACGGCGGCCGUCCGAUGUCUGCUGGGUGGGGCGUUGUCGUCCCUGUGCGUUCUUUCCGCGCCUUUCGGGGUGUGGGGGGCGUGCGGGCGCGGGGCGUGCCUGUCUGGUGUGGCAAGCGUGGUAACAGGUGUGACGCAGUGAGGUAGCCCGUCCGUGUCUUAUGGCUUGGCACGGCCAAGGGUGUGGCCCGCCGCCGAGGCAAAUCCCGGCGGCUUGUGGGUGAGGCCUGAUGGGGACCGUUGAUGGGAAGCGGGUGAUCCUGUGCUGCCGAGAAAAGCAUCGACGCGAGGCCGUUGUCCGCCCGUACCCGAAACCGACACAGGUGGUCAGGUAGAGUAUACCGAGGCGUUCGAGUGACUCGUGGUCAAGGAACUCGGCAAAAUGCCCCCGUAACUUCGGGAGAAGGGGGGCCCUGAGCGUGGUCCGUCCGUGCGGCGGGGAGCGUGUCGGGGCCGCAGAGUCCAGGGAGAAGCGACUGUUUAUCAAAAACACAGGUCCGUGCCAAGCCGCAAGGCGAUGUAUACGGACUGACGCCUGCCCGGUGCUGGAAGGUUAAGCGGACCGGUCAGCCCCCUGUGCGGGGGUGACGCCGGGAAGUUAAGCCCCAGUAAACGGCGGUGGUAACUAUAACCAUCCUAAGGUAGCGAAAUUCCUUGUCGGGUAAGUUCCGACCUGCACGAAUGGCGUAACGACUUCUCCGCUGUCUCGACCACGAACUCGGUGAAAUUGCAGUACGAGUAAAGAUGCUCGUUUCGCGCAGCAGGACGGAAAGACCCCGGGACCUUUACUGCAGCUUGGUAUGGGUGUUCGGCGCGGUUUGUGUAGGAUAGGUGGGAGACGGUGAUCCGGUCGCGCUAGCGGGCGGGGAGUCGCUGGUGAAAUACCACUCUGGCCGUGUUGGGCUCCUAACCUCGGCCCGUGAUCCGGGUCAGGGACAGUGCCUGGUGGGUAGUUUAACUGGGGCGGUUGCCUCCUAAAGGGUAACGGAGGCGCUCAAAGGUCCCCUCAGCCUGGUUGGUCAUCAGGUGGCGAGUGCAAGUGCACAAGGGGGCUUGACUGUGAGACUGACAGGUCGAGCAGGCACGAAAGUGGGAACUAGUGAUCCGGCGGUCGCGUGUGGAAGCGCCGUCGCUCAACGGAUAAAAGGUACCCCGGGGAUAACAGGCUGAUCCUGCCCAAGAGUCCAUAUCGACGGCAUGGUUUGGCACCUCGAUGUCGGCUCGUCGCAUCCUGGGGCUGGAGUAGGUCCCAAGGGUUGGGCUGUUCGCCCAUUAAAGCGGUACGCGAGCUGGGUUCAGAACGUCGUGAGACAGUUCGGUCCCUAUCCGCUGCGCGCGCAGGAGAAUUGAGAAGGGCUGUCCCCAGUACGAGAGGACCGGGACGGACGAACCUCUGGUGUGCCAGUUGUUCCGCCAGGAGCACGGCUGGUUGGCUACGUUCGGGAGGGAUAACCGCUGAAAGCAUCUAAGCGGGAAGCCCGCUUCAAGACGAGUUCUCCGCCACCCUCGCGGUGGGAAGGCCCCCCGAAGACGACGGGGUUGAUAGACCGGACGUGGACGCCCCGCAAGGGAGUGAAGCCGACCGGCACUAAUGGGCCGACCGACCCAACACAA